rnacentral:ncRNA from 1 species
GUGCCGCCGGAACAUUGUCCGGCGGUGCGGUUGCAACGGGCCCCAGCCCACAAAGCCGGGGUCUGACUCGAAAACGUAUAUAUGACCAGCAGGGGCAUCCGGGCUGGUACCCGGACUAUCUGCGGGAACCUUUGUGGCUACCAGUCGCUGCACAGGGCUGGGUCCCCCGAGAGUUCCAUCAGGUGGAGUCCCCUUACCGAGGGUGACCA